UACCGAAUUCAGACAAACUCCGAAUGCCAAUUAAUUUAACUUGGGAGUCAGAACAUGGGUGAUAAGGUCCGUGUUCGAAAGGGAAACAGCCCAGACCACCAGCUAAGGUCCCAAAAUAUAUGUUAAGUGGAAAAGGAUGUGGCGUUGCCCAGACAACUAGGAUGUUGGCUUAGAAGCAGCCAUCAUUUAAAGAGUGCGUAAUAGCUCACUAGUCGAGUGACACUGCGCCGAAAAUGUACCGGGGCUAAACAUAUUACCGAAGCUGUGGAUUGUCCUUUGGACAAUGGUAGGAGAGCGUUCUAAGGGCGUUGAAGCAUGAUCGUAAGGACAUGUGGAGCGCUUAGAAGUGAGAAUGCCGGUGUGAGUAGCGAAAGACGGGUGAGAAUCCCGUCCACCGAUUGACUAAGGUUUCCAGAGGAAGGCUCGUCCGCUCUGGGUUAGUCGGGUCCUAAGCUGAGGCCGACAGGCGUAGGCGAUGGAUAACAGGUUGAUAUUCCUGUACCACCUAUAAUCGUUUUAAUCGAUGGGGGGACGCAGUAGGAUAGGCGAAGCGUGCGAUUGGAUUGCACGUCUAAGCAGUAAGGCUGAGUAUUAGGCAAAUCCGGUACUCGUUAAGGCUGAGCUGUGAUGGGGAGAAGACAUUGUGUCUUCGAGUCGUUGAUUUCACACUGCCGAGAAAAGCCUCUAGAUAGAAAAUAGGUGCCCGUACCGCAAACCGACACAGGUAGUCAAGAUGAGAAUUCUAAGGUGAGCGAGCGAACUCUCGUUAAGGAACUCGGCAAAAUGACCCCGUAACUUCGGGAGAAGGGGUGCUCUUUAGGGUUAACGCCCAGAAGAGCCGCAGUGAAUAGGCCCAAGCGACUGUUUAUCAAAAACACAGGUCUCUGCUAAACCGUAAGGUGAUGUAUAGGGGCUGACGCCUGCCCGGUGCUGGAAGGUUAAGAGGAGUGGUUAGCUUCUGCGAAGCUACGAAUCGAAGCCCCAGUAAACGGCGGCCGUAACUAUAACGGUCCUAAGGUAGCGAAAUUCCUUGUCGGGUAAGUUCCGACCCGCACGAAAGGCGUAACGAUUUGGGCACUGUCUCAACGAGAGACUCGGUGAAAUCAUAGUACCUGUGAAGAUGCAGGUUACCCGCGACAGGACGGAAAGACCCCGUGGAGCUUUACUGUAGCCUGAUAUUGAAAUUCGGCACAGCUUGUACAGGAUAGGUAGGAGCCUUUGAAACGUGAGCGCUAGCUUACGUGGAGGCGCUGGUGGGAUACUACCCUAGCUGUGUUGGCUUUCUAACCCGCACCACUUAUCGUGGUGGGAGACAGUGUCA
rnacentral:rRNA from 1 species